rnacentral:rRNA from 1 species
AUUGAACGCUGGCGGCAGGCCUAACACAUGCAAGUCGAGCGGAGCGGCGGACGGGUGAGUAAUGCCUAGGAAUCGGCCUGGUAGUGGGGGAUAACGUCCGGAAAGGGGCGCUAAUACCGCAUACAAUCGGAUGAGCAUAGGUCGGAUUAGCUAGUUGGUGGGGUAAAGGCCUACCAAGGCGACGAUCCGUAACUGGUCUGAGAGGAUGAUCAGUCACACUGGAACUGAGACACGGUCCAGACUCCUACGGGAGGCAUCCGUUGGGAAUUUUGGACAAUGGGCGAAAGCCUGAUCCAGCCAUUCCGCGUGUGUGAAGAAGGUCUUCGGAUUGUAAAGCACUUUAAGUUGGGAGGCGUUACCAACAGAAUAAGCACCGGCUAACUUCGUGCCAGCAGCCGCGGUAAUAC